rnacentral:lncRNA from 1 species
GAACACGAACGGGUAAUAUCCAAACCCGAAUGGAUAUCCGAAGAUAACCGAAUAUAUGUAUAAUUAACCUUAUAUUCCUAGUUUACAUCUCUUAUUUUAUAUAAAAUAUUUAUAUUGAUACUACACAUACUUUAAGUUCAUUUGAUAUACAUACAAUUACGAAAAAAAUGAUUUGCUACUCACUUAAAAUGCAUGUCAAAACUUUUUAUUUCAAAAAUUAACAAAAAGUUACAUCCAAAAUUAAAAAACAAUAACCAAAUUAAUGUCUUUUUAGUUUUAAAAUGUUAUGUUCAAAUCUAUUAACCAUUCAAUCUAUUAAAAAAAAUAGUUAAGUGAAAAUUAUAUUUUUAAAUACAAGAAAUUUGAAAAAUGAAAAAUUUAAUAUUUUUUUCAAAAUCUAAAUAUCCGAACCCGA